CCGCCGACGAGUUUUCGAAGAGCUUGCGCAUUCGGCGUCAUGACGCCCGGUUAACGUCAGCAACGACUCGGGGGGUCUUCUCUCAUAUCACCAUCGCGCCCAUUAGGAGAAAGUACAAAAUAAAAUAACAAUAACAAAAUAAAACAAAUAAAAACAAUCUCUCGGGGCAGACUUCUCCUUUAGACUGCAAAGGACAGGCCGCACACGUCUGAUAAGAUCCCAGAACACGGCAAGGACAGGAAGUGAGGUCACUGACUUCCGAGGAAGGGAACUUGCAGAGGGAGAUGGAGCGGGAGCGCGAGAAGAAGAAGGGAGUAGAUGCAGGACAGAGGCGCAGGACUGCAGAGUGCUGCUUUCAGACAGCUUUGGACUUGGCUGUGGGAUGGUUGUCACUCACAGGGCAGGGAGCCAAUCACAGGGGUCAGGUGUAAGCGGUGCGCCCUCCUUCGGCCAUCCUUCGGCGUGGUGAUGCCUCACGUUGGCACCGAGGGGGUUGGCAGCUACUUCCUUCGAGUUGUCCCUAUAACGUCAGAUCACGCGUCCCCCCCCCCCCCAACGUGUGCUAGCUGGGCUUCACACUUCUGUAUGCACUGCUACACGCAUGACCUGCUACAUAGAUAAAUACACUGAAAGGCCAACCUGUCACCAUGGAGAGGAGAGGAGAGGAGGAGCAUUGGACACAUCAAAGGAAAAAACGCCAGACACCAUCAGCGGGAAAUGAAGCAGCGAAGGCAAGCAGAGUGCUAGAGAGAGAGAAAGACGAGAACUUCCGCUGCGCUACAUGCUUCUUUCCUCGCCACCCUAUGGCUCCGCCCACUUCUUCAGAAAACCCACUUUUCUGCUUGGAAUAAAAGUCUUUCACCUAA